GCAUCUCUGUCUGCCUAAGUUAGGACAAUGUGAGGCCCAUCCAACAGAAGUUGAAAGAAAGCUGGAAUGACUUCUUCCAAGAGGCUGACUCAAACUGGAGUCUCUCAUAAUGGAACCCCCAGAGAAGGGGAAGAGCGACGAGAGCUUGUCCAAGAAGAACAGAGACUUGCUUCGUCUGGAGGCGCAAGAGAAGAGGAGACGGGAGGCUCCAGGGGAGAAAGACCAGUUCCCUGGGAAGACUCCCAUCUUUGCAAAACCCCACAAGACUGAUAACAAAGAUGCGCUGUCAAAGCGCAUUAGGAAGGUCAUGGGCAAUUUUAAUGAUUUCAAGGCAUACAUGAGACAGAAUUUUCGGAAGGUCAUAUGGAUUCCAAAAAAGUUCAAGUCCAGGUCAUGGAGCAGGACCAACUGUCGUGAACCGAGCUCCAGUCAAACCAAGACAUUUCAGAGCUCAGUGAUGGAACAGCCACUUAAAAAUUCUAAGACAUCAGAAUCACCUGAGCUUGAACCGUUCCUGGAGAAAAGCAACUCUACGGAUGUGUCGUCCGUUGAGGACAUUUUGAGGGAAAUGACCUUCUCAUUUUCACGUCCAGUGUCACCUCUGCACACACCUCCAAAAGCAGAGCCUUCUGAAUUGCGUUGCUCAAAAAAGCAAACCAACUCCACGGAUGUGCCGUCCAUUGAGGACAUUUUGAGGGAAAUGACCUACUCAUUUUCACGUCCAGUGUCACCUCUGCAGACACCUCCAAAAGCAGAGCCUUCCGAAUUGCCCUGCUCAACAAAGCAAACCAACACCACGGAUGUGCCAUCCAUUGAGGACAUUUUGAGGGAAAUGACCUACUCAUUUUCACGUCCCGUGUCACCUCUGCAGACGCCUCCGAAAGCAGAGCCUGCCAAAUUGCCCUGCUCAACAAAGGACACAGAUGGCUCUGCAGCUCAGAAUCAGGUGUGCUCCUGGACGACCUGCAGCUCAGUGAUAGUGAGGAGAGUGAUGACAACCAGGUUGUUGAAAGGCCACCUUCUCCACUUGCUCCUCCAAGGCACAGCGUGCUCCUGGAUGACCUGCAGCUCAGUGACAGUGAGGAGAGUGAUGACAACCAAGUUGUUGAAAAACCUCCUUCUGCACUUGUUUCUCCAAGAGACAGUGCCCUACAGUCCCAGCCCAGGAGUGUGGCAUCAUCUCCAUCCAGCAGCUCCGAGACCAGUGACUCAGAGAGCUCCUCCGACUUGGAGAUGGAGACCACCUGGAGUGACGGUGACGUGGGCGACCCUCCAAGUGCACCAGCACCUGAGGACAUGGACGGCUCUGCAGCUCAGAAUGAGGGUUGUUGAAAAGCCUCCUUCUCCACUUGGUGGUCCAAGAUCUUUGCAGUCCAGCAGCUCAGAGUCAGGGAGCACCAGUGACUCUGAGAGCUCCUCAUCCCCGGAGACAACUGACUCAGAGAGCUCCUCGGGCUCAGAGACCCACCACACUGGGGGUGUCAAAAGGCCUGGCAAGCCCCUGGUGCACAACGGGGCCAAGAGAUGCCGGAAGGAGGACAGCAACCCUGAUCCAUUGGAGAUCAGAGCCCAGUCUUCCAGGGACAAACAGAGGGUCAAAAAAAGAGCAAAGCCGGAAUCUACUUGCAGGAAAGACCUGAAGCCGACCCUCCAAGAGCCCCUUGAGAACAGAAAGGGCUCCCAGCAGGCCGAAGUGAAACAGCCCUUUGCUCUCGGGGUGAAGGAGUUGCUCUCGCCAGUGAGAGACCCCGCAGCUCCUGAGCCUGUCCGGGUGAAAGAAGAGCACCAGAGAAGAGCAGAGACCAAGGACCUCCCUUGUGCAAGGAAGCGGGACUUGAAGAGGAGAGCCAUGGACAGUCCUGAUGAGCCCAGUGGGAAGAAAAAGAGGGGAGAGAUAUGAAGAUUAAAGCUAAUCUUCAGUAAGCAAAGACUGCAAUAAAGUGAAAAACUGUUGUGCAAUCAAAUGUACAAGAAGAUGGUGCAGCUGACAGGUAGAGCAAGUGAGCUGCAGGAGUCAGACCUCAUGAAAAAAUCAUCUGGUAAUUGUUUUUCACCAGAGAGGAGUGGCACCUCGAAGGGAAUGGUGGAAGGACGUUUCGGUUUCAGGGCACGCUGCUGACCAGACGUCCUCCAGCACCCUACCUCUUACUUAGAGGUAAAAUCACCCAGCUUUACUAACUCUGACAUCACAAAAACUUCAAUAGUCAUCUAGUGAGAAGAAUAAAAAGAGCUAGAUACAGAAGCAAAACCCAGAAGCAGCAAGCUGUCGUUUUUCAUCAGCUUAUUACUGAUCUGCCUUUGAUGUUUCCGGAUGCAACUGUCAAGGUCAGCCAGUACUAAACUGAGUAUGAUAAUUUGUUGCUGUGGCCAGUGAUAUAGCAGUACAUGGAGUAAGUGAGAGGAAAAUUUGUUUGUUCUUGGAGAGGAGCCUUCUCAGUUGGUGCUAGAGUAGCCAUGGUUCUGCUUACACUCAGUGUGACUGCUGGGAAAGACAUCAAGGAGUUUCCCUCCACGAAGUCAUCAGUAAGGAGUUCCUACAUUUGAAGAAUAAGGCUAAAGAAAAAUUGAGAGUGCACCAAGAGAACAUCAGGUUAUCAUGCAAAGGCCUCAACAUGAAGAAGCAUGUGACUAAUUAAUUAAACUACUCAAACCCGGAAAAAUGGAUGGCAUCAGACUUAAGAAGAUGAAAUUAUCCUUCUAAAGAAAUGGAAAAAGACCCAAAAGAAGUAUAUUGAGGAGCCCUGAAUGCAAAUAGAUUUCUGUAAUUUCAAG